rnacentral:lncRNA from 1 species
CGGUAUGUCCUGAACCGCAAUUCUUUCCGGAACCACAUCCUUUUCCGUAUCCUCCUCCGCUGGCAUGACCUGAUGAAGAAGAACCACUUCCUUUUCCUUUUCCGUAUCCUCCUCCGCUGGCAUGACCAGAAGAACCACUUCCUUUCCCGUUACCUCCUCCGUUGGCAUGACCUGAAGAAGAAGAACCACUUCCUUUUCCGUUUCCUCCACCGCUGGCAUGACCUGAAGAACCACUGCCUUUUCCAGACCCGGUAUGUCCUGUACCGCAAUUCUUUCCG